AUUGAACGCUGGCGGCAGGCCUAACACAUGCAAGUCGAGCGGAUGAAGGGAGCUUGCUCCUGGAUUCAGCGGCGGACGGGUGAGUAAUGCCUAGGAAUCUGCCUGGUAGUGGGGGAUAACGUCCGGAAACGGGCGCUAAUACCGCAUACGUCCUGAGGGAGAAAGUGGGGGAUCUUCGGACCUCACGCUAUCAGAUGAGCCUAGGUCGUAUUAGCUAGUUGGUGGGGUAAAGGCCUACCAAGGCGACGAUCCGUAACUGGUCUGAGAGGAUGAUCAGUCACACUGGAACUGAGACACGGUCCAGACUCCUACGGGAGGCAGCAGUGGGGAAUAUUGGACAAAGGGCGAAAGCCUGAUCCAGCCAUGCCGCGUGUGUGAAGAAGGUCUUCGGAUUGUAAAGCACUUUAAGUUGGGAGGAAGGGCAGUAAGUUAAUACCUUGCUGUUUUGACGGUACCAACAGAAUAAGCACCGGCUAACUUCGUG
rnacentral:rRNA from 1 species